CCUACGGGUGGCAGCAGUGGGGAAUAUUGCACAAUGGGGGAAACCCUGAUGCAGCGACGCCGCGUGAGUGAUGAAGUAAUUAGUUAUGUUAAGCUCUUUCUGCAGGGAAGUAAAUGACGGUACGUGAGUAAGAAGCCCCGGCUAACUACGUGCCAGCAGCCGCGGUAAUACGUCGGGGGCAAGCGUUAUCCGGAUUUACUGGGGGUAAAGGGAGCGUAGAGGGGAGUGCAAGUCUGGAGUGAAAGGCGGGGGCUCAACCCCCGGACUGCUAUGGAAACUGUACGGCUGGAGUGCAGGAGAGGUAAGUGGAAUUCGUAGUGUAGCGGUGAAAUGCGUAGAUAUUAGGAAGAACACCAGUUGCGAAGGCAGCUUACUGGACUGUAACUGACGUUGAGGCUCGAAAGCGUGGGUAUCAAACAGGAUUAGAUACCCUGGUAGUC
rnacentral:rRNA from 1 species